UACAUUGCAAUGCACAUAAUCAUAAAAUUCAUCAAUGAUGGGGAACAAACUAAUGUAACAAUUUGUUUUUCAGUUUGUAAGUAACAAGUUCAAGUUUGAUUCAGAGAAGUAUUUAUAAUUUAACCGACAAGGCCAUACACGGAAUAUGUGUUAAAUAAAGGAUUAAGUUUCACCUUAUUACAAUUAUUGUUAUUUUUAUUGUGGCUGUUGACCACAAGCAUAACGAACAGAUAAAUGACACAAUAUUUGAUGCAUUAAAUUUGUUUUAUCAAGCAUACAUAAGAGAAAACUAUAAUGUUUACAGUAUAUGGCUCAAUGUGUUUUACCUACAUGACAGAUUCAUGUUUUUGUUGUUACAGCCCUUCAAGGCAACACAAAUAAUUGAUUCAUCUCAACCUUUAUAUUUACUUGUCGAAGCUUAUUCCUGAAGGGAAACAUUUUUUUUCUUUUCAUUUAUUUGGUUACUGCAUACUAUCGGUCUGAACUUUGUAUGGUGAAGAAAUUGGAACCACGUCAAAUCAUUGUAACAUGCAUGAUAUAUGUAACUGUCUGCUACAGUUGGUUCAACAAUUACGAAUGCUUCAUGUGCAGAGGAGAGAUGCUCUACGAUGAAGAGGUUUAGCGGAGUAUAUGCAACAUUACAAUCUAUUUCCAAAAUAUAAUCAACAUUGUUUCAAUGAUGUUUGAAGUAACUGAUGUGGAAAUUAUAAUCCCAAUGACAAACCACCUACAUUUCAAUACAUAUAACUGUUAAUUGCAUGUUGAAAAAUUAAUAGAUGUUUCAACUCAUUUCGAUGGUUGAUAGUGUUUGAUUUUGUCAUUUGAUUUAGUACACCUUGAAAUUUGAUAAUGUUGUUGUCCUUUUUUGUUUACAUUCCUAACAUAAAUCAUUGAAUGUAUGGAUAUAGAUAAAUUUCUAUUUACAUUAAUUAACAUGUAUGUGAA